AGUGAACGCUGGCGGUAGGCCUAACACAUGCAAGUCGAACGGCAGCACAGUAAGAGCUUGCUCUUACGGGUGGCGAGUGGCGGACGGGUGAGGAAUACAUCGGAAUCUACUUUUUCGUGGGGGAUAACGUAGGGAAACUUACGCUAAUACCGCAUACGACCUACGGGUGAAAGCAGGGGAUCUUCGGACCUUGCGCGAUUGAAUGAGCCGAUGUCGGAUUAGCUAGUUGGCGGGGUAAAGGCCCACCAAGGCGACGAUCCGUAGCUGGUCUGAGAGGAUGAUCAGCCACACUGGAACUGAGACACGGUCCAGACUCCUACGGGAGGCAGCAGUGGGGAAUAUUGGACAAUGGGCGCAAGCCUGAUCCAGCCAUACCGCGUGGGUGAAGAAGGCCUUCGGGUUGUAAAGCCCUUUUGUUGGGAAAGAAAAGCGGCAGGUUAAUACCCCGCUGUUCUGACGGUACCCAAAGAAUGAGCACCGGCUAACUUCGUG
rnacentral:rRNA from 1 species